GACAGAGGGUGCGAACGUUGCUCGGAAUCACUGGGCGUAAAGCGCGUGUAGGCGGUGCCAUACGUCGGGUGUGAAAGCCCGGGGCUCAACCCCGGAAGUGCCCCCGAUACGACGGCGCUGGAGUGCGAGAGAGGCGAGUGGAAUUCCCGGUGUAGAGGUGAAAUUCGUAGAUAUCGGGAGGAACACCAAUUGCGAAGGCAGCUGGCUAGACCUGGAUUGACGCUGAGGCACGAAAGCGUGGGGAGCGAACAGGAUUAGAUACCCUGGUAGUCCACGCCCUAAACGAUGCUUACUCGACGUAUGAGGCUUGUCCUUGUGCGUCCAAGGGAAACCGUUAAGUAAGCCACCUGGGGAGUACGACCGCAAGGUUGAA
rnacentral:rRNA from 1 species